rnacentral:lncRNA from 1 species
CUUUAAUUUGUCGCGCAUUAUUUACAACAAGUGUACUAUUGUGUAUAAUUAUUGUUUGCUAUGAGAAUUACAUAACUUUGAUCUGCUUUGGGAUAUUUUAUUUGACAUUCAAAGUCACGGAACGAAAAUUCAAGGAAGUUUUGCCUGUAAAUAAAAAGGCUGUUCUGAUAACUGGAUGUGAUACAGGUAUUUAUUUUAAGAUGUUACCAUAUAUAAUUGGUCUUUUUCGUACCGCGGGUAAAUUAUGACGUUGCGGUUGGUUAAACGCCUUCACGUGGUGACCCCUAUGAAUACGUAAGAGUUAUCAAAUUUUAUAUGUGAUUCUAAAAACUGCAAUUUUAUGGUGAUGUCAUCAGUUGAUGUUGUUGUAUUUCAUUGUUUAUUUUUCUACAAAACGCACCAGGAAAAUCCCGCGUGCGAUAAAUCCGUCAUACAGUCAACAACUACCCCCCACGGACCAUAGAAGGUGAGUAAAAUAUGUAGGAGAUUCGGCCUUCGUCCUCAAUCCCUAUGGAUUUUAUCAACCUUCCUCUAUGGAUCCGAAGAGGGUCAGUAGCGAACCAUUUUACUUAUAUUUUUUAACUACAUCACACUUUGGAUUAAAUAUUUCCGAAAUUUGUUUUAUCAAAAUAGCUAAAGAAGAUGUGUAGAGUCCGUCACUGAUACAAUAACCUAACAACAUAGUACACUUACAAUACCUAAACACAUGCAUCUUGGUUAGCAUACUGUAUUGACAUACAGUGCUCGAUUGGUAUUUAACCCCUUUUUUAACACUUUUGUGAUUUUUUUCGUGGCGGUCAGUUCUUUCUUAUUUGUGUGGGAAGCCAUACAGAGGAGGAAAACUGAUAAUUAUAAGAUUGGAAUUGAGAGCAUAUAUUACGGGAUUCGAAAUCACAAACUCGGUGUUGACAGGCUAUUUAUAAAGUAUUUGGACUACUUCUAAAAAAUCUAAACACCAAUUGGCAACCCAGGUCCUUGUUUAUCUAAUGAGAUGUGUAGAAUAUACUAAUGGAGAUACAUACCAAACAAUACAAGAAUGCAAUCAAAUGACAUUGAUAUUGACAUACAAAAAAGUUUCUAUAGAAUAUGUAAAGUUCUGAAAGGCACAGUCUAUAGUAAUAUGGGAACGAAGUCCCCAAUAACAGUAGAAAAAUCAUUAAAAAAAACAAAAAAAAAACAAACAAAAACGGGAAAAUUUUCCCGAAAUUUAACCAUUUACAGGUAAUGCCUGCCUCUUAUUAUCGUAAACUAUUUAAAUAGAGACGAUAAGAUAUAUUGUAAGAUUAUAAAGUAUCUUCAGUCAAUAGUUUGUCAUAAGAUAUGCUGAAUGAUUUGCUCCGACACAUAGUAAAACGAAACCGUGGUUUGUUUCUGACAAAUAUUCCGUAAUUGUUAAUAAAAAAAAAAAGAUAAUAACAAAAUCUACAUGUAUAUACAAGUACGUGCAGUGGAUGUACUUGACCUUUUUGAAAAUCGUAAACAGUGACCUUGUUAAAGAAAAAAAUCAAUGAGACAACUAUUCAUCAUGGACAAAAUAACAUUCAAGUUAACAACUAUUAGUCACCAUGCAUCCUUCAUCAAUGAGCGAAUCCCGUUUCGCAUAGUAAGUCUUGUCGGUUUCUUUUAUAGGAUUUGGGCACGACUUAGCAUACCGGCUGGUAGAUGACGGGUUUAUUGUGUUUGCUGGUGUGUUAAACUACAAUGGAAAAGGAGCAUGUGAACUAAGAAAUAGGAAUCUUCGAAAUUUAAAUGUUGUACAACUAGAUCUUACAAAGUCUAAUGAAAUAGACAAAUUAG